rnacentral:rRNA from 1 species
UACGUAGGGUGCAAGCGUUGUCCGGAAUUAUUGGGCGUAAAGAGCUCGUAGGCGGUUUGUCACGUCGGAUGUGAAACCCUGAGGCUCAACCUCAGGCCUGCAUUCGAUACGGGCAGACUAGAAUUCGGCAGGGGAGGCUGGAAUUCCUGGUGUAGCGGUGAAAUGCGCAGAUAUCAGGAGGAACACCGGUGGCGAAGGCAGGUCUCUGGGCAUUAACUGACGCUGAGGAGCGAAAGCAUGGGGAGCGAACAGG